AUUGAACGCUGGCGGCAGGCCUAACACAUGCAAGUCGAACGAGUGGCGGACGUGUGAGUAGUUGCUGGGCAACUGCCCGAUGGAGGGGGAUAACUACUGGAAACGGUAGAAACUACCGCUUACAAUCGAAUAUGCCCGGUUGUGAUUUGCUAGUCGGUGGGGUAACGGCUAACCUAGGCGACGAUCCCUAGCUGGUCUGAGAGGAUGACCAGCCAAACGGGAACUGAGCCAGGGUCCAGACUCCUCGGGGAGGCAGCAGUGGGGAAUAUUGGACAAUGGGCGAAAGCCUGAUGCAGCCAUGCCGCGUGUAUGAAGAAGGCCUUCGGGUUGUAAAGUACUUUCAGCGGGGAGGCGGUACUCACCGAAUAAGCACCGGCUAACUCCGUGCCAGCAGCCGCGGUAAUUC
rnacentral:rRNA from 1 species